GUACAAAUUCCGCUGAGCAAAAGAAUAAGAGUUGCUGAACAGCAGCCAAGAGACUAACCCAGCAACAGCUGACAUGGAUACACAUCUUGUCUCCACAUUUGAAGGUGAAGAGAAACCCAAGUUGCCAGAGCUCAGAGGUAGGACAGCUGUAAAGCCUCCUGCUUCAGUUAAUGAAGUGUGUGGUGCUCCCAGCUUUGAGAAGAACAUCCAUCCAGAAUUUGAGCCCUGCAGUGCUCCAGGAUUUGAGGACUGCAUUCCACCACAUUUUGAUUAUCCCACACCCCUAGAGUUUGACUGUGCUCCUGCAGAGUUUGAUGACUGCAGUCUCCUAGGGUCUGACAACUUGAACAAUGAAGGCUAUGCUAUUACACCACGUCUGCAAGAUGCAAAGUCUCCUGCAAAUGCAGUGCAGGAGUUCAUUCCAUUCAGUAUGUUUCGUUCAGAAGGGGAUACACAGAGGACAAGUUUGGACAUUCAGACUAUUAGAUUUGCCAGAAAACGUGUUGGCAGGAUUGGGAUGAGAUUUGGAUUCUUUCCUUCUCUCUCAUCUGGCUUUGAGCUAACCUUGUAAUUCUGCUGUUGCUCAGAGAAACCUGAUUUUUUGCUUGCUUUGAAGAAUUGGCUGAAAGUCUGAAGAGAAAUCUCUCUGGAGAUUAGUUUGUUUUCCAGGGACGAUUCCUUUCUCUACCCUUUGUGUUUCUGAAGGUCUUCCAGGUGGACCCAUUUGGAAUCCCUUGGAAAACAGACAUAAUUAACCAUGAGAAGAGUUCGGUCACUGCAUCUUUACUUACGCUAAAAGGUGUCACCUUUGUACCUAUCUUGUGUGGUCCACACACUUGUGUGAAUGGAUGGGGAAGAGGGUGAACACCUUGACAGACUGAUGGACAUGAGCAGUUUGCCUAAGCCUUCAGAUAAUACAUACCAUCAAGAAAGCUGCAGUUUAGGCAUGAUUUUGAUGCUGGCCAUUGAGGUAGAGUCAGUUCAAACCAUAGAAGGGAAGUGUACUCUACCGAAGAUGAUGCAGCAGUUUUUGACGAGGAACUGCAAUCAGUAUAACUGCCUGUCUUUAAAACCCUUACCCCUCCAACUGUGCUCAGAAAGGAGAGGUUAGAUAUUUUUUGGAGGGGAUCACCUGCUAGCUCACAUUCAGGCUUAUCACAGCAAAUACUUGGUUUGAAGGCAAAACUCUUCAGUCCGCAGUGUGAGUUUAUGAGUAUUCAUGGUGUAAAAUUGAACUCCUAAUGGGUACUUGUUGGGAAAGAUGAAGAAGCUGCUUCAGCUGUUUACUAGUCAGAAUCCACUGAAUAGAGCCUUAGACUCACUGAGAAGCAUCAUGAUUUGGUGACAGUGAAUGACAUUUCUGGAGAUGCCCAGUCUGACAUCUUCUUUGGAAAAAUUGUGAUCUGAUGAUGACAAAGUGUCUGAAACCAGAGCAAGAAAGCUAAAAUGCUACUAAAGUUUUGAGUCAGAGGAUGGAUGGAUGAAGAUCUUAUUCCAAAUGGGCAGUGCGCUUGGAGCUUCCUCCUGCCUGCAGGGGGAAAGCUCAGUCACACUGGCAAAGUCCUGACUGCUUUUUCAGCAAGGCUUCAGUUUGCAGUGUGGCCAACAGGGGCUGUGCCAUCUGCGACAUGAGCUGGAUGGCUUUGUGCUGCAAAGAAACGUGCAGGUAUCUGCUGUUAAGCUACAGCAGUACAAGUACAGCAGAUGUGAGCAUGCAGCUCUGGUGAGGGAAGGAGCAACUGUGGCUGUGGACCUGAGAGCUGAAAUUUCCCAGCUUCCAUGUGUCACUACCAUUCCUUCUGAAACACUGGUUUUAUGUGCUCUUCUUAAAUGGUUUUCUAUGCAGAUGUAGUUCUACACAAGAUAACUAGAGCAAUGUCCUUGAAGAUACCCCAUUUUGUCUAGUUGAGGUACUUGCUAUAGCUUCCAGAUGUGUUGCUUAUCACUGAUAAAUGUCCUUUCUAACCACCAGGCUUCUAUAAUAACAGCAACAUCCUCUAAAUGGGGGCUGAAGUCCCAAACAGUAACCAAUCAUUGGAAACUAAGUGGAGACCAAGUGCCCUUAGAAAACCUGUGUCCUCACAUGGAUAGCAUGAGGAGGACACCUCCCCAUAUGACCACCGACCCCUGCACAAGCACAGAAGAUUCGGAUACGUUUGCGUAACCUUGUACUUGCAGUAAUCUCAUGAAUAUGUAAUAGAUAGAUGCCUUAUGUAGUGGAUAGGUGUGUACUGAGAACUGCUGGGUUAUAAAUAGUGGAGAGUGCGAUGACUCAGAUCCACUUGAUUUGUGGAGAUUACUCACCUUGAGUGCUGUGCAGAAAUAAAGCAAUGUUUCCUCUCUAAUCACUUGUCUUUUCAAUGUGUUUCAGGACAUUUUGAAAUCGACAUCACCACCACCGUUCCUUCUUACGUGCUUUUCUUAAGCAGUUGUGACAUGCCCAGCACUGCCUGGAGUGUGGUGAUGAGUACCAUAUCACCACAAGUCUUCAAGGCCUAAGGUUUGUGGUUCUGCGGCUAACAAAUCAACUGAUGGAUGGGAAAUCGGGGAAUCUCAAACAGUAUGAUACUACCACUGGUGCACCAGUGUGGUAGUGAUCAGUGCCUGCUGUUCUUCAGCUCUUAGCAAUCCCCCAUCAGAAAGGUCUUUUGAGAGGAUGGGCGAGGUAGACAGUUGCCUGAUGUUCUCCAUCUCCAAGGCACCUAUACAAAAAACCUAUUGGUAUUCUUUGAGUCCUUGAAGUACCCUUUCCUGAGGUAAUCUACACCAAGGAUGUGCAGAGCCUCUGGACCAGUCGCAAUGGGGUGUUUUUGCUACUCAUUCUCAGUCAGGCUCAAUUCAGACUCCACUAAAAUUAGCUCCUGGGAUCCCCCUGUCACUCCGGAGGUACAGACAGGUUCUGACCCUUCAUAACUUUAUGGCACUAGGCUCUUAUACUCCUGUGGUUCUGAUGUGCCAAGCCAUUGAAUCCGCACAGCCCAAUAAACCCGAUUGUCCCUUUCCUCCACCUGACUGGAGGCAGGGCCCUUCUAGUUCUGGUUAUUCUAUUCAUCAGUCAUGAAUGCAAACCACAAGGCUGGUUAUCAAACUCAGAAAUAAGGUCAGACCACCUACUCUGUUUGAAGAACUGCCCACUGGAGACUGGAGUGGUCAUUUUCCAGGAAGAACUCUCUUUUGUGAUGGCUUUCCCUCGCAACUCACAUAUCCAUACCUCUAGGCUUCAAGUGAGUUUUCCAUCCCAUUUCCUCAUAUCCUCUCCAUGGCCAUGCAGGUAAGACCACCGGUUAGCACGUGGUGUAUACCCAAUAUAUCUUCUGUCUUGAAUUAAAAAAUGCUUACUUCUGGUAUCUGAGAUGCUAGUCCAUGCAGAUAGGACAGAAGAUUUAUUCCCUUUGAGUUGUUGGGCCACUUCGGAAUGCUUCUCCACAGCUGAAACACAGGCCCUUAGAGAGAAGGAGAGAGAUAUUUUGCUGGAGUUCAUCAGCGAAUUUAUCCACCAUUUGUUCCUCUCCCUCUUUCCAGGUCAUUUCUGCAGUGAGUUGGCAUACAGAGAUGGUGAACUCCGUACAAACUUACGCCACAUGGAUUGUGGAAUAACACAUCUCAAUUUUGGAAUAAUCAGAAGUUCAGGCCAAUAUUAUGCACCAUCUCCAGCACAGCCAAUUCCCUCAGAUACUGGAUACCUCUUUCCAUGGUGGUCCACUUGCCUGGUUGACAUAAUAUUGUCCCUAGAGGAACUGCAGCAACCUGGCUCCCAUGCUCACUGAAUCCAGACUAUCAACACCACAUCCCAGCAUUGAAGCGGCUGGGUGACAGCGUGCUCACCUGGAUGAUCGCUGAAAUCUUUCCACAUAUCUUGCACAGGUAUCAGGCAUCAGUUUCAGAAAUGGCCAGCCUGUUCUGAGGGAGGUUCCAGGGAACUACAGUCAAGGCAGCUUCACCUCAAACCCUGGGAAUGAUCUGCAGACAUGUGAAGGAAAAGAAAGUGAUGAUAUAAACCUAUGAAGUGUGGCCUAGGUAAGUGGAUUGAACACUCUGAUGUGGACUGAACGCUGACUGAACUGCUGGGCUCAGAGGACUAGAGGUACACAAUCCAGUGGCUAGCCAGUCCCUAAUAGUAUAGCCCAGGGCUUGAUACUGACCCUAAUACUGCUUAACUUCUUCAUCACUGACACAGAUGCUGUGACAGAGUAUUUAUCACCUGCAAACUUGCAGAGAUAGCACAAGACUGGGAGGUGUGGCUGCCACACGAGGAGAGGGGCUUUGGCAGGCUGGAGAAAGUUUCACAAAGCGGCAUGAAAUUUAACAAAUGGAAUUGUGGAACCUGGGAAGGAAUAACCUCACAUGCCAGUAUGCAUAGGGGACCGAGUGACUGGAAGGAAGUUUUGCUGAGAAGAACCUGGUUGUCCUGGUGGACACCAAGUUUAAUGUGAGCCAGCAACAGGCUCUUGUCACAUCAAAGGUCAACAGUACCCUCUUCAAAAUGGUUUGUUGUUCCUUGUGCAAGAGGAAGUAAAACCGUAACUGUCAAAGCCUACUAAGUAUGUAAAUGGAGGGAAAGCCUUGAAAAGAGAAGUACUCUGAAUCUGUGACGAUGCAUGCAAAUAUCAUCUUAUUCAGUGAUUGUAUGACCAUUUUAAACCGUAACCUGGAGGCACAUGUUUAAAUCCAUAAGCAUUCCAAAGAAAAAAGAAAGAUAACAGUCCUUUAGAACACAUGUAGGCUUUCCCUCUUCUGCGUAGUUUGUAUAUUGCACGUAUUUGCCCACUUCUACGUGUAAUUAUUAUAAAAGUCUUCAAAAUCAAAACUUUUUUGACAAAUCAAGUAAAGUAACUAAAAUAAUGUGUCUUUGCAGCACAGGUGAAGGUGCCUCUGCUUUGAUUUCAGUAUUACUCUUACCUUUCCAUAUACAGCCUUUGUGAACUUUCCACAGCCAGCCUCAUUACUUAGAGUUGCAAACAUUCUCAGCACAGAUGUCAUGUACACUGUUGUCAUGAUUUGCAGUAGAUUUCCCAGAAACUGAAGAGGUUGCUCACACACUGCUAUAGCCACAAAGCUUCAGAAUACGAUUGUCACCCGAUCUUUUUACUCCUUACCUGAGUGGUUUUCCGUUUGGUGUCUCCAUACUACAGUGUUUGAAUGCACUCAGUGCCAGAAACAUGAACCUCUUCAGCCAAAGGAACCACAGAAACCCCACUGUUCACCCCUAUUGCCCCAAAUCUGGUUUCAUGAAAUGACUGCAUAUCUAAAGUCGCAGCCCACAUUUCUUGACCAUGCAAUUGGUUCACAGACGUAUGCUGCAGUUUUAAAGCAGUGUCUAUGCUUCUGCUUCUGCUUAUUCUCAGUAGCUGGGUCAGUCUGAGACUUCUGAAAUUGUGUCAAUCAUUCGGUUUUAGAGAAGGGGACUGUGGUUAAAUGGUAUCGAGUGGUGUAUUUCAAAGCAUGCCACGUGUGGAUUGGGUAGAGAUGUUCAGCAUCAGCAGAGGUUAGACGAGAGAGGGGAACAGGAUGGAGCAGCAGGAAGAUGUCAGUGGAAAGGGAGUAAAAGAUCCUUGUUGGAUACCUCCUGACCAUGUGGUUUGUGGUCUUCUGUCAGUUUUCUUUCCUCGUUAAACUGCAGCAUUUCCCUUUGCCUCCUUUAGACAAUUUGGAGAGUUGUGGUCUGGAAGAAAUUGCAUUCCUCUGAUGCCUUUACUUUAAAUAUUGCAUGGCUAUGCUCAGGAAGUCCUACAUGAAGAAAUAUUGUAGCAGAGGUGUCUUCCUGGAAAAAUAAGUCCCCUGGGAAAGACAUCCCUCAGAAGUCCAUUCUUUUUAUCUCCAGGUAAGCUAUGUUGCAUGUGUAUUCAAAGGCAGAAUGGAUGUAAAUGCUUGUAGAGCAACUUUGCCUGUAGUAAAGCAGUGUUUCCAAAUCAGAGAACAUAAACAGAAGGAGCAACAUGAGACGCAUGUAUAACUGUAGCUAUACAAAAAUAAAUGUAAGCCAAAUUUACAGAAGUCGUAGAAGUAUGUAUCUCAAGGCUGAAUGCAAUUAAGUGUAAGGAAGAUGAUUAAUUUUACCCUCAAAUCUUCUGAACUUUGAGCAAAUAUAUAUAUCUUCAUGUAGACGUGCAACAUUUAAAUCUUUAGUAAUGAAGUAUUUUAUGUCUUCUGAACCCUUAAAAUUAGUUCAGAAUUAAUCGGCUUAUGGUCAAGACUUUCCUCUUCGGUUUGUAAAGUGCUGUAAUUGCAGGCAUUACAGACCACUUGGCUUCAGUUGCAGACAGAAGCUGCAGCCUGUCUUUCAGCUCAGACUGACCGUCAGAACUCAGUUCUUCUAAUUUGUCUCACUUCCUCAUGCUGCAUUCACUGUUGUGCUGCUCAGCGCUGUUGUACAGGACAUGCAGAAACUCAGAAGCAAAUUCUGCC
rnacentral:lncRNA from 1 species